rnacentral:lncRNA from 1 species
CUUGAAUUUUAUUACUCAUGAACAAGAUAUGGAAAAAAUAAUAUUUGAUUUCCGAAACUGAUACAUAUAUCAAUCAUUUUGUUUUAUCCUAUAUGUUUAGUUUUUUUAUCAGAAGAAAGUAUAAAUGAAAGCAAAAUCAGUGACAUUGAAUUUUUACAAAAUUUUACAUAUUUUUAUUUGGAUAAAGUGAACUUUUCUGCAUUUCAAAAAGCACAAGUUUCAGUUUUAUUUAUAAUACAUUCCAGAAAUUGUUUAUAUUAAUGUAUAAAAUAUGUAGAUAUUAUUUUUAUAACAAAGGUUGUAUGUAUCAUAGGUCAGAUUAGUUCUUUUUUAAUUAAUCGAAGGAAUGCCAAGUUUCUAUAAUUUGAUACCUAAAAAAUUAUAUACCUCAAAAUGUUUAUAAUUAUAACUGACGUCAAGCAGUUUUUGAUAAUUGAAUAUUUUGAUUGUUUAUUUUUAAAACUUUGAAGAUUUCAAAUGAAUAAAUGCAAGGGGUGUGCCAUUUGAUGUGUUAAGUGGGUGCUAGUGACACAGUCUACUUAUUAAUAAAGCAUAUCAUUUAAAAUAGGGAGAACAAGUUUCAUUACCCCUAAAAACAUUGACAUUUCACACAACAUACAUGGAAAUAACAAAAUUUUGGUUGUCUUAAAACUAUGUUUGCAAAUAUUGUAAUUAUUCAGAUAAUGAUGUUGGUUAUUCACACUAAAUAAGUUGUACUCCAAGGAUAUAUUGAAUCUUGAAAGUAUCACUUGUUAGCUUUGGUUUUGGCUAGACAAAGUGACUUAAGCAAAAUGUUUUUGUUCCUGCUUACUGACACACUAAAGAUCAUGCGCUAAAAAAAUGAAAUGGGAGGGGGAAUCCAUUAGCAUUUUACACUACAUCACAGCUAUUAAUGGGACAGCAAAGUGGCUUCCUUUAAAAGGGUUUAAGUGUUUAAGUGAAUAUUCCUUUGGGUAUUACUAUUUCCAUAAAUAGUGUACAGGAAAACUCCUGGUUUUACCUAUAGAUAAAAUGUAUACAUUAGUUACACAUAUCAUAUAUUUUACUUUGUACAUAUCAUUUUAAGGAAUUCAUUAUGUGGAGAAUCUAUUUGGAUGAUUUUUGCCAUUCCAUUUUAUAACAAUGAUAUAUUUUACAAUAAACUUUAUUGAUUCUAUAAAUGUGUUGGUUUUUUUUUGUCCUUGACUGCAUCAAAUUUUAAUGAAUGUGCAACACUAGUAUUGUUUUGAGCUUUGAUUUCAUCUCAUUUUUUUGAUUUUAUUUCAUAAGUGAAUUUAAGAAUAUAAAGUAGUUAUCAGAAUUCCCAUGAAGACUAACUCUGCACCACUUAUUGCAGACCUGUUUCUGUAUUGUUAUGAGUUACGAUUUAUGACUAAAAUCAGUAAAGACCCAUUGAAACAACA